rnacentral:rRNA from 1 species
UACGUAGGGUGCGAGCGUUGUCCGGAAUUAUUGGGCGUAAAGAGCUCGUAGGCGGUGUGUCACGUCGAUCGUGAAAACUUACAGCUUAACUGUGAGCGUGCGGUCGAUACGGGCAGACUGGAGUACUGCAGGGGAGACUGGAAUUCCUGGUGUAGCGGUGGAAUGCGCAGAUAUCAGGAGGAACACCGGUGGCGAAGGCGGGUCUCUGGGCCGAUACUGACGCUGAGGAGCGAAAGCGUGGGGAGCGAACAGG